ACGUAGGGUGCAAGCGUUAAUCGGAAUUACUGGGCGUAAAGCGUGCGCAGGCGGUUUUGUAAGUUUGUCGUGAAAUCCCCGGGCUCAACCUGGGAAUGGCGAUGAAGACUGCAAGGCUAGAGUUUGGCAGAGGGGGGUAGAAUUCCACGUGUAGCAGUGAAAUGCGUAGAGAUGUGGAGGAACACCGAUGGCGAAGGCAGCCCCCUGGGUCAAGACUGACGCUCAUGCACGAAAGCGUGGGGAGCAAACAGGAUUAGAUACCCUGGUAGUCCACGCCCUAAACGAUGUCUACUAGUUGUCGGGUCUUAAUUGACUUGGUAACGCAGCUAACGCGUGAAGUAGACCGCCUGGGGAGUACGGUCGCAAGAUUA
rnacentral:rRNA from 1 species